rnacentral:rRNA from 1 species
GACGAACGCUGGCGGCGUGCUUAACACAUGCAAGUCGAACGGAAAGGCCCUGCUUUUGUGGUGUGCUCGAGUGGCGAACGGGUGAGUAACACGUGAGUAACCUGCCCUUGACUUUGGUAUAACUUCAGGAAACUUGGGCUAAUACCGGAUAUGAGCUCCUGCUGCAUGUUGUGGGUUGGAAAGUUUCGGCGGUUGGGGAUGGACUCGCGGCUUAUCAGCUUGUUGGUGGGGUAGUGGCUUACCAAGGCUUUGACGGGUAGCCGGCCUGAGAGGGUGACCGGCCACAUUGGGACUGAGAUACGGCCCAGACUCCUACGGGAGGCAGCAGUGGGGAAUAUUGCACAAUGGGCGGAAGCCUGAUGAAGAAACGCCGCGUGCGGGAUGACGGCCUUCGGGUUGUAAACCGAUUUCGCCUGUGACGAAGCGUGAGUGACGGUAAUGGGUAAAGAAGCACCGGCUAACUACGUG